rnacentral:rRNA from 1 species
AGGGUUCGAUUCUGGCUCAGAUUGAACGCUGGCGGCGUGCUUAACACAUGCAAGUCGCGCGUGAAAGGACUUCGGUCCGAGUAAAGCGGCGCACGGGUGAGUAACGCGUGGAUGAUCUACCCAUGAGUUGGGAAUAACGGCUGGAAACGGUCGCUAAUACCGAAUACGCUCCGAUUUCAACUUCGGGGGAAAGGUGGCCUCUGCUUGCAAGCUACUGCUCAUGGAUGAGUCCGCGUCCCAUUAGCUAGUUGGUGGGGUAACGGCCCACCAAGGCGACGAUGGGUAGCCGGUCUGAGAGGAUGACCGGCCACACUGGGACUGGAACACGGCCCAGACUCCUACGGGAGGCAGCAGUGGGGAAUAUUGCACAAUGGGGGAAACCCUGAUGCAAGCAACGCCGCGUGAGUGAUGACGGUCUUCGGAUUGUAAAGCUCUGUCUUUAGGGACGAUAAUGACGGUACCUAAGGAGGAAGCCACGGCUAACUACGUGCCAGCAGCCGC